UGUAACUUGGAGAUGACGGGCUGUAAGGACUAGAAGGAGACAGCUUCGGGCUGGUUGGCGAAUAUGCAAGGGAGGGGCUGUAUCUUGCCGAGGGAUUGUAACUUGGUGAUGUAGGACUGUAGGAUGGUGAUGUUGGGCUAUAGCUGGGAGAUGUUGGGCUGUAACCAGGGGAGGUAGGACUGUAUGCAGGAGAAGUCGGACUAUAUGAAGGGGAAGUUGGACUAUAAGUUGGUGAGGUGGGGCUAUAUGAAGGCGACGUGGGGCUGUAUGAAGGUGAAGUGGGACUGUAAGAUGGGGAAGUGGGGCUGUAAGAUGGAGAAGUGGGGCUAUAGGCAGGAGAAGUAGGGCUGUAGGCAGGAGAAGUAGGACUGUAAGCAGGAGAAGUAGGACUAUAACUGGGCGAUGUUGGGCUAUAGCUAGGUGAUGUUGGGCUGUAGCUCGGAGAUGUUGGGCUAUAACUGGGUGAUGUGGGUGAGUAUGAUGGACUGGUUGGAGAAUAUGCUGGACUUGUUGGGCUGUAGCCAGGGGAGCUUGGGCUAUAAGUGGGGGAAGUUGGGCUGUACCCAGGGGAUGUGGGGCUGUAGCCCGGGGAAGUGGGGCUGUAACCUGGAGAGGUCGGGCUAUAACCAGGGGAUGAUGGACUAUAACCAGGGGAUGACGGGCUGUAUCCAGGGGAUGAAGUGGGAGAGAAAGCCAUUCCACCCACAUAAGGAGAAAAUUGAGCAUCUGUCAUCGGUGACAUCCGCAUAUUUGGGCUAAGCAAAUAAUUUGGAGACAUCAUUCCGUCAUGAUAUGGGGUCCCACUGAUAGGUGAACGUCCAGGGGUCAUGCCAAAUUCAAGACCACCUUCCAUGUAGCUAGGCAGUGGUAUCUCAAUAGCUUGUUUCAACAUCUCCUCAUUGAGGUACAAAGCACAGCCUCCCGUGCCAAUCGGUGCAAGUUGACCUAACAUGAUAUUUUCUGUUACACCCUUCAGGUAAUCUGAUUCUGCAAAUACAGCAGCAUCAAGAAGAAUGUCCACUGUCUCUUCAAAUGAGCAUCUCAUCAUGGGACCUGUGUCAUUCCGGUUAAUACCAUGACGAGUAAUGGCCAUUAGAUGACCACGGUAGGUCAUGGUAUCACACAAUAUGGCCAGAUGUCUGUAGUUCACAUAGGACCCAUCAAAAGAUAUGACGACCCUCAACUCAUCCAGCAGUGCCCUACGAACUGCCUCAAUACCAAGAACUUCAAUAACUUCAAUCAAGUGAUUACUUGUUGUUCUGCUUGCAUCAACAUCUUCAUGUGUCAUAACAGCUAAAAGAUUUACACCCUCAGUGUCCAACAUCCAUUCAUUUUCUGCUUUAAAUCCUUCAUUGUCAUCAAACUUCUGCACCUUACUGUUCUUUAUGAACACCUUGUUGAUAUCUGGAAUACCACGGAGAGCCAUCUCCGUAAGCAUGUUACUCUCGAUCUUCUUAAGGAAUACAUCAUCCUCAGCAGAUUCAUCCAAUUCACCUUUUGGAGCUUCAUCAUUCAUAAUACGAAUUCGAAGGAUCAGCUUUUCCGCAUUAUCAUCAUUAAAGAUACAGGUUAAGUCAUCAUCGAAUUCAAGAUUGAUCUUUUCAGCAAUGUCAGCCAUACUAAGUUUCUUAUCCACCAUCAUUUCACGAUUUAACUCUAUGCGAAGCAACCACGGGGAGAUUUUGUCAGGAUCAAUCUCUUCAUCUGGCAUUUCAUAGUAUGACUUGACGAAUUCAACAUCUUCCUCAAUAAGGGUGCUCAUAGGAUCAGGAUCAUACCACACUUCUGUGGCUUGAGUAACGCUCCGCAAAGUGGUAUAUUCCAAGGCACACUGGACAGUUUUGGCUCUCUCUUUUGUUUUGCCUACCUCAGGUUUCAAGUACACAGAAAGAGAGGGUGUUUUGAUUUUCUUCGCAACAUUUAUGAUCUCCCUCAACCUUGGCACACCAAGCGUAACAUUCUUGGCACUCACACCAGCAUAAUGAAAUGUAUUAAGAGUCAUCUGUGUGGCAGGCUCACCAAUAGACUGUGCAGCAACACAGCCAAUCAUCUCUCCUGGUGCCACAAGGGACUGCAAGAAGCGAGACUCUAUCUCACCAACUACCCAUUCAAAAGCCUCGCGGCUAAGCCUAUACUCCUUCAGAACCCUUUUACUCGCCAAGGCACUACGGAGCAAGAUAUUGAAGAAAAGAGUGGCAUUCUUUUGAGCCUCCAUGCUUAGGUAAUCAUCACCAGGAACAACCUUCAGCCUCUCUUGUAACUUAUCAACAGCUUCCACAAUCUCCAUAGGAUGCAUAUCGGAGGGCCUCCGGAAAUCUAUCUUAAAUGUCUUUUGGGCAUUCAAGACAAGCCUCUGAAUGUUAACAGGAAGUGGCCAAGAAUUGUCACCCGUUACAGCAAUCUCUGUCCCAAGCUGGUGUCUAUCAGCUUCAAGCUUCUGAACUUCUGCAUCGAACACACUACGAAUCUCGCGAAUACCUUUUAGAUCUUCGACAGCUUCGAGCAACAUGUAACUUGGGUUCCAGUUAGGAUCAUCGAUCUCAUAUGCAUACAUGUCUUCAAAUGUUGAUUUCUUUGCUUUCAGAGAAUCCAGCUUCUGUGUCUCAAUCCAAACAGAAUCCAUCCCAUCUUCCCCAUACAGAAACUGGAUGACAUCACCCAGUGAGUUCCUAACAGUACCAUCAUACUUGACCAUGAUAUCCUCCAUGGCCUUCACUAACCGCCUCUGGAUGUACCCGGUCUCGGAAGUUUUCACAGCAGUAUCAAUCAGACCUUCUCUACCACCCAUAGCAUGGAAGAAAAACUCUUGCGGGGUGAGUCCCCGGAGAUAUGAGUUCUCCACAAAACCACGACUUUCUGGACCAUAAUCAUCCUUGGUAAAAUGAGGAAGAGUUCGGUCUAUGAACCCAAAAGGAAUACGUUUCCCUUCAACAUUCUGUUGUCCCACACAAGCAGUCAUUUGAGAUAUGUUGAUAAAACUUCCCUUGGACCCAGCUGUAACCAUAGCUUUAAGAUUAUUGCUCUCUGAUAAACUCUUUUCUGCACUGCUUCCAGCAUCAUCACGAGCCUUAUUCAACACCUAAGAUUACAAAGAAAACAUUAUAACAAAGUUAUCACACAAAACCAAGAAAAAGAGAUGGAUGUCCAUAUACAAAAGUACCUGGUUCACUCUGUUCUCGAAUGAUUCCAUCAUUGUUCGCCCUGGUUCAGCUUCUAACUGCUUCUCUUGAGCAGCUUUAAUAAGUUCUUUGACUUUGCUUUUUGCAUUCGAGAUAGUUUCAUUAAUUUUCUCCAUGGUUGCAGCAUCAGCAAUUGUAUCUCCUAUUCCAAUGCUAAAUGCUUGCUGAAGAAGCCAAUAAUUAACCAGCCACUGUGUAUGUCCCAGAAACUUUCGAGCAGCAUCUGGCCCAACCUCCUCCCUGUUUGCAGAGGCAAAGUUAACUAGGGAAAAUAUGACAAUGACCCCCCUACAGUAACAUACUUAUAGAGCCCGUGUUUUGCAGCUAUCAUCUCAUCCACCUCACUUCCAACUAAUGACAACAUCCUCACAUAAACAGGAGGAAAGCAAGCCACAUGGUGCAUCACGAGACCGUUGUUGUCUAGAACAAGUAUUUAGGGUUGACAUAAAGCCGACCCCAAGUGAAUGGGGUCCAGAUACAGACUUGAUAUGAAAGCGUUAGGUAAGUCCAGGAGAACAAAAUAGAAAUACAAAAUACUGAAAAUGCAUACCAUAUAACAUGGAUCAGACUUCCAGUGGAUGUCCCAAGGGUCUUUUUGCAAAGAGUACCAGAUAGCAACUCCCCUUUCUCUAUUCUAACUUGAGUAUCUCCAGGAGUUAUGUACCCUUUUUCUGAAUCAUUAUGCCAUGCGGAAUAUCUUAAAAGAUUUAUUUGUUUAGGUAUGAUGAGGUUAAACACUUGCUUUCCAGUCCAAAGUGGCCUUGGUUUCAGAAUCGCUGGAGCGGGAACUUUCCCGUCAAAAUCUUCCCACCACAUUAAGAUGUUCAUAAAGACAUCCUGCAAACCGAAAGUAAGCAGUCUUUACCAGAUCAUGCAAAAUCAUGAAAGAUUAAAGAAUUUUGAAAUGGCACGUGUGGAUUUACCUUUUCUAUAAAGGUAUCCCUUUUAGUGACUUUGCGGCAACCUAAAAGCGUAUCCUGGACAAUACCCAUUACAGGCCUAUUUGCCUGGGGUGAAACAAUACACUUGGGGACCAUCAUAAGCUCCAGCACCUCUGCUCUGGUUUCAAAUGACUGGGGAACAUGCAUGUUCAUUUCGUCACCAUCAAAAUCAGCAUUGUAGGGAGAAGUGACAGACAAAUUCAAGCGGAAAGUUGAGUAUGGCAUGAUCUUAAUCCUAUGCCCCAUAAUAGACAUUUUGUGUAGACUUGGUUGCCGAUUGAAAAGAACAAAAUCCCCAUCAUUUAAGUGUCUCUCAACCUGCAUUGGCAGCAUUGUCAGAGAGCUUUCUCAGAUAUCAAAAGUCCCUCAGUUACUUGGAACUGAAAGAAACAAACCUUAUAUCCCAGUUCAAGGUGCUGAUCGCUGCUCUUCUUCAAGUAUCGGAGAUCAAGCCUUUGGCCAUCAUCCCUAAUUAUAUACUUGGCCCCAGUUUUACCAGGAGGUGGAUGAGGUCCAUAUUCAACAAGCUCCUUUAACCUGUUUGAAAACACCAGCUUCAAUCAGCACAAACAUACAAUUCAUUUUUCUUCUUGUUUCAAGUGGGUUGGUGAGUGCAGGGUUUCAUUUCUACAAGAACAAAAACACACACCUUUCAAUGUUAUAUGGUGUCACUGUUUCUGGAUAAGUCAGAUUCAGAGCAAUACUCCAUGGGACUCCCAAUUGAUCAAUGUUAAUAGUUGGAUCGGGAGUAAUCACUGUCCGAGCAGAAAAGUCUACUCUUUUGCCCAUCAGAUUGCCUCUGAUCCGACCUUCCUUUGAUUUUAACCUACUACAUAUUGAUUUGAUAGGUCUACCUGAUCUUUGCGUAGCCUGAAAAUUAGAAUAUGAAAAACCCAGUGAUGAGAACUUAAACAGAUUCAACAGUUGAAUAAAAAAAAUCUCAAGAAAAAAUCAUCAUACUCUUGGCUGUCCUGGCAGAUCAUUAUCAAAAUAUGUAGCUAUAUGAAAUUGCAAUAACUGCGCAAACUCCGAAAUGAUGUGUGCCGGUGCCCCAUUCCUUUCCUGCCUCUUCAAAUUCUCGUUGUGACGAAUAAUCAUGGCCAGUUGAUGUGUUAAAUCAUCCUAAAUUAAAUUUAAACGAAAAGGUAAUCCAUCAAUUGGCACAAUUUUCUAGAAAUUUCUGUAAAGAAUAGAAGAAAGUAGAGAUAAAGCAACACUUUUAGACAACAGUACAGUAAGCUCUCAACCUCAACAGGAAAAUGAAUACCUCACUCCUUGAUGAAGUAUCCAUCAUCACAGAAGGCCGAACAGGUGGUGGUGGUAUAGGAAGCGCUUGAAGAAUCAUCCAAUCCGGGCGAGCAUACUCCGGGUUUAGGCCUAGCAAUA
rnacentral:lncRNA from 1 species